UACGGAGGAUGCGAGCGUUAUCCGGAUUUAUUGGGUUUAAAGGGUGCGUAGGCGGCUUAGUAAGUCAGCGGUGAAAUUUUGCAGCUUAACUGUAACAGUGCCGUUGAUACUGCCAGGCUAGGAUUUGGUUGCUGUGGGUGGAAUGUGUGGUGUAGCGGUGAAAUGCUUAGAUAUCACACAGAAUAUCGAUUGCGAAGGCAGCUCACAAAGCCAAGAUUGACGCUGAGGCACGAAAGUGUGGGGAUCAAACAGGAUUAGAUACCCUGGUAGUCCACACUGUAAACGAUGAUAACUCGCUGCCGGCGAUACACAGUCGGUGGCCAAGCGAAAGCGAUAAGUUAUCCACCUGGGGAGUACGACCGCAAGGUUGAAACUCAAAGGAAUUGACGGGGGCCCGCACAAGCGGAGGAACAUGUGGUUUAAUUCGAUGAUACGCGAGGAACCUUACCCGGGCUCGAACGGUGCAUGAAUGUUCAAGAGAUUGGAUAGUCCUUCGGGACAUGUAUCGAGGUGCUGCAUGGUU
rnacentral:rRNA from 1 species